GACGAACGCUGGCGGCGUGCUUAACACAUGCAAGUCGAACGGAAAGGCCCCCUUGUGGGGUACUCGAGUGGCGAACGGGGGAGUAACACGUGAGUAACCUCCCCUUCACUUUGGGAUAACUUCAGGAAACUGGGGCUAAUACCGGAUAGGAGCUCCUGCUGCAUGGUGGGGGUUGGAAAGUUUCGGCGGUUGGGGAUGGACUCGCGGCUUAUCAGCUUGUUGGUGGGGUAGUGGCUCACCAAGGCUUUGACGGGUAGCCGGCCUGAGAGGGUGACCGGCCACAUUGGGACUGAGAUACGGCCCAGACUCCUACGGGAGGCAGCAGUGGGGAAUAUUGCACAAUGGGCGGAAGCCUGAUGCAGCAACGCCGCGUGCGGGAUGACGGCCUUCGGGUUGUAAACCGCUUUCGCCUGUGACGAAGCGUGAGUGACGGUAAUGGGUAAAGAAGCACCGGCUAACUACGUG
rnacentral:rRNA from 1 species